rnacentral:rRNA from 1 species
AUUGAACGCUGGCGGCAUGCCUUACACAUGCAAGUCGAACGGCAGCACGGGAGCAAUCCUGGUGGCGAGUGGCGAACGGGUGAGUAAUAUAUCGGAACGUGCCCAGUCGUGGGGGAUAACGUAGCGAAAGCUACGCUAAUACCGCAUACGAUCUAUGGAUGAAAGCGGGGGAUCGCAAGACCUCGCGCGAUUGGAGCGGCCGAUAUCAGAUUAGGUAGUUGGUGAGGUAAAGGCUCACCAAGCCGACGAUCUGUAGCUGGUCGGAGAGGACGACCAGCCACACUGGGACGGAGAAACGGCCCAGACUCCUACGGGAGGCAGCAGUGGGGAAUUUUGGACAAUGGGCGCAAGCCUGAUCCAGCAAUGCCGCGUGCAGGAUGAAGGCCUUCGGGUUGUAAACUGCUUUUGUGCGGAACGAAACGGCGAGCUCUAAUACAGUUUGCUAAUGACGGUACCGUAAGAAUAAGCAUCGGCUAACUACGUGCCAGCCGCCGCAGUAA